AAAAUAAAGGAAGAUGGGUGAGGAGGACUGUAAAUACACUCCAGUGACUUGCAGCUGGGGUGUAGAAAAACACAUAUAUCAUACUAAUUGUUGUUUAGUCUUGUGUGCUUGACAAGUACAACAUCUGUGUUUAGAUAACAUAGGCCUGUGAUAGACUCAGAGGCACCCUAUCAAACAUGCUUGAGAUUCCUGCCCCGCUGUGGGAAAGAUCAACACACAGCGGUAAAAUACGCCUGCGUGAUUCCCCAAUAUACAGGCAAAACCAGCAGGUUCAGCGAUCCUCUAGCAAGGACCGAGCUCCGUGGUGCUUGCGUCCCCACUUGUGUGCCUCUGCCCAGGUGCUGCUUCAGGGAUCCUGAGAUUCACGAGGCAACAGCUGUACACCGAUGAACACUACAAAAUUGACUGGCAGUGGACUGUUUCCUCCUUCAACACAAUAAACUCUGCAUCAAUUCUGAAGGCAUAUGUCGCUUCAACGUAACCAAUGAAUCAGCCAGAGUAGAGGAGGACAUUCAACAUCUCCAGGAACAGGAGGUACACUUGGUGAUCCUUGCAGGUCCCUUCCAACUCAGGACAUUCUAUGAAAUUAAACAAUCUAUUGGUGGUGCCUGGCUGGAUGAGUGGUUUAAUUCCCUGGCACGAUGAAUGGGACACCUGAUUCAAAGCAUUAUUGUAGAGCUAUGUUUAUUCCUUUAUCUAUACGUAUUUAUUGUGUGCCUCUGCAAAUUACACUGUGCUGCACCCUGCAAGCCCAAAGGGACACUUCCAGCUUUGCCAGCCCCAGCAGAAGCGGUCUUCUGAGCAAAGGGGUAGAAUGUGGGAAAAUAAAGGAAGAUGGGUGAGGAGGACUGUAAAUACACUCCAGUGACUUGCAGCUGGGGUGUAGAAAAACACAUAUAUCAUACUAAUUGUUGUUUAGUCUUGUGUGCUUGACAAGUACAACAUCUGUGUUUAGAUAACAUAGGCCUGUGAUAGACUCAGAGGCACCCUAUCAAACAUGCUUGAGAUUCCUGCCCCGCUGUGGGAAAGAUCAACACACAGCGGUAAAAUACGCCUGCGUGAUUCCCCAAUACACAGGCAAAACCAGCAGGUUCAGCGAUCCUCUAGCAAGGACCGAGCUCCGUGGUGCUUGCGUCCCCACUUGUGUGCCUCUGCCCAGGUGCUGCUUCGGGGAUCCUGAGAUUCACGAGGCAGCUACAUAAGGUGCCCAGUUGCUGAAAGUACCAGGAAGCUAUUUACAACCCUAAAAGUAAGAUUUCCAGGAAUAGCCCAAAUUUUUUCUAGCCCAGCUUUGCUAGAUAAAGCAAGCUGGGCUCCAGAAAGAUGCUGCAGCUUCAGCUGACCAGAAGACAGCUCCUCUUUGAAACCUGCUCAGGAGAGCAGGCUGUGCACAGCCCAGCUACACAAUCACCCAAACUGGGAUGUAGAGGACCUGGAUCCAAGACCUGGCUCAGAGGGAUGAACAGCCAGUCCCAAGAGCCUUACUACCCCAGUGCUUUCCCCCCUCUCCCUUUCCAGAUGCUGCAUUGUAGAAGAUAAUAUAUUUUAACUAGACCAAGAUGCAACACUGGUGAUACCUGUUUCUGAAAAGAUGUUCCUACUGUUUCUAACUAUGGCUCUGGGUCCAGCUAUGAUCAAAGACCAUCAGAGACUUCCAGAACUAGGGGCAGUGCUACUUUAGUAUCAUGUUUUAAUGGCAUUGUAUAGCUGUAUGUAUAACCAUAUCACCAACAAAGCGUAGAUCGCAGUCACACAGAUAUCAGACAUUCACUAGCAAAUCCGCAGAUUUUCCACUUCAACAUAAGAACCAGUAGGUGUAUGAUCCUCUCAUAUUCACACCAGAAUUCCCCUCUCCUCCUACAGCUGCUUUAAAUGCGACUCUUCACUCCUUCACUGAUACAGUCUAUUUCAUCACAUUUUCCAAUUAAAUAGGCUGUGCUCCUGUCCCCUCUCCCUAGCACUACCAUAAUCCAAGUAAGCCUUUACUCAUACACAAUAGAGGAGAAAAGAAUGGCAGGGAUUCACUCUCCCUUGAUUGCCAACCCAGGUGCACAUUUAAACACAGAGUUCCUUAGGUGGGGCAGAGACAUCAGCAAUUACAUGGGAUCUGCCUCAGCAGCCAGGACCCAAAGCACUAUGCUCUCUAUCAAGUGAGAUGUGAGUCAUUACAGUCAAAAGAGCUAAUCAGGUUAGCAGUUUUUAUCCUGAAUGCAUUUGAUAUAAUUUUUAAGUUUCUCUUCUAAAACUUUGGUUCCCUAGAGAUUGAUAAUUUAAGUAGUUGAAAGAAGUGAUUAAAAACAUGAAAUAGUUGACAUAUGGUAAAAUGCAAACAUUAAUAUUCAAGAAAAAAAAAAGCUAUUUCUUAAGGCAUACUCAAAGCUCCUCUAAUAAUAUCUCAGGAUCGUUAUUUUAUUUUACUUAUUUCAGUCUCGCUGUCUUCUACCUGCUCCCCAAUAACUGAAAGCUACCAGACAUUAAAUAGAGUUAAAUGCAAAAAACUAAACACAGGUACCUCAGUGGUUUACUAGUUUGUCUUCCACACCAUAUACCAACACAUUCAACAAUUCCCCAUACCAUGCUAUCCAUUUGAAGGGCAAAACACUUAAAAUGGAUAAAACACUUCUGAGGCUGAGUUUUCUCAGCUUCAGAAACCCACAAGACAAGGGUCCAAGUUCACUCCUGAAAUAAUGAAAGAGGAAAAUUACAUUAAACUUUUUUACAAAUAUCCUGAUAAAAGUUUUGUCUGUUGUAAGUUAAGGGUCCAAAACCUCAUUAGAAAGACUUCCAGCUUCUUUAUAUGACUUUAAUCCACAUAAAUCAGAAACCUCAGAUCAAGUUCCCUAAUAAAAUAAUUGUUUUAUACAGUAUCCUUACCUUAAUAAAGCCAAAGCAAAACACAAGCUUACUCAGACAACUAUUCACUUCUGCUUUUCUACUCAAGAGAGAACACUUUAUGCUUACCUCCCUUGAUUUUAAGAAACCAAGUUUCAUAAGGCCCUGCUGUACCUGAUUGUUUCAGCUGGCUUAACUAGAACUUUUCCAUCACCUGCUGGAACUUAACCUUCCAGCUCUUCAGCUGGGAAGGACGUUUUACCAGGAAAUGUCUCAUGAUUAGUUUAUAAAUACUUCUUCAGCAGUGCUACAGCUAGAGAGAUUUCUUUGUGUGUUUAUAGCAUGCAGCAUUAGCUAAAUGCAUUGUCUUUCAACAGAUCUCUGAUUUUGGCUCUGCUUGAGGUAAAGGAACAUCUCUAGCAGCUUAUUACCUUUGCUGGAUUUAGGAGCUGUGUCAUUGCUAUCAUCCUGUUCUUCAGAGAGCUCAGCAGUAAAGCUGAGAGCCUGUUGCUGUCUAUGCUUACCCAAACACAUUAAAUUAAUGUACUUCCCAAAUAUCGGCUUCCUUCUUUCUCCAUGCCUUAUUUGGCUCUUGGGUUUUUUGCCUGUUAAAGUUUUAUUUAAUUUCCUUUCUGUUCCUAGUGACGGUUUAAAGACUUGGUUUCCAGUUAUGUUUCUUGUUGUUCCUGUGUCAUUUUGGUAGGAUUAGCUUUAUGAGUUGCUGGCCAAUUUGUCUAAAGCUUGUCUUGUUUUCUUGCAUGUUAAUUAGGCAGGAGAAAGGUCAAGAAGGUUCUCUGGGCAUGCUGAGGGCUGUAGCCCUCUCCUUUAACAGCACAAAGAUAGGAACGGGUAGGGACAGAGGUGCCUGGGGAGAUGAACAGGGAUAGAGUCUGCUAAGAAAUCUUUGCCGUAUUUUCUUGUCUCUUGGUUCAAACACAACAAAAUUCUUAGAGAGGGGUGAAUUUGGAAUCUGUCAUAAAAAUUUACUUUUAGAAUAAAGAAUGAGACCACUUUCUAUGCCUGUAUAUUUCCUUGGGGAUAUUCUGUCAGAGUAUCUUCAGAGAAUUUUCAACAUCACUAGCUUUUGCAAGGGAUUGCUAAAGCUGCUGUUAAACAACUGGUGCAUUGGAGCAAUAGUCUAUGGUACGUUAGUGGUAUCAGUAGGAACAAAAUCAAGCCAUGUGCCUGAUUUGAGUUUUGUGCAGGAGAAUGAGAAGAAACUAAGCAAUCCUUCUAGGUAAGUGAUGUGGGUCUUCUUAAGAUGCCUGCCAGGAGGGUAUAACUGAACAGAUGAACACAAGUCAUUAAAAUGCUUUAAUGAAGGAAGAAAAGAAAAAUCCAGAAAAACCUGCAGCAGAUAGGAGUACUUAGAUUUUCCGCCUUUUUUAUUCCUCUUAAGCUGCUGCUUAAAUACAUAAGGAGCUAUUAUUUUCAAUGUUCUAGUCUUUAAUUCUUGUCAUUGUCAUAAAUUUAAUGAAAAGAUAAUACUUAAGCUACAGGAAUGACUAAGCACAUACCUUCAAGGACUGGCUUUCAAUUAUGUUAAGGUGCCUAAAUAAAUCCAAAAUCUGCUCUUUCACAGCCUAUCUUAUAGAUACCUAAUGGUCUGGUGAGAAGAAAGAUUGUUUAUAAAUAACUGAAUGGAGAUUUGUCCUUGUAUAUACCUGUUUUAAAAUUUACGGUGUAGUCUCCACCAUUAUUUUUGUACUUCCAUAUAUUUUUACUUCUGUCCCUUUGGUUAUUUAAUUGAGUCUUUUAAGACUUUCUAUUUUAUGCAUUAUUUUUUUUCUGUUCUGAUGGGCAAAUUCAAACCUGUUACACUAGCAGGUAACACUUUUCCUGAGCUAUGGUGAGACCAAACUUCACUUUUAUCGAGAUGCAGAGAGAAAACGGACAGUAGAUAAACACUGAAUUAUUAAUGCAGUCAUGUCCCAAAUAAAUACAAUCCAGUAAAAAGGUGCAUUGACCUCAUUUGAAGGGUUUUGUUAGUUUGUUUUUCUGAAACCAUUUAUUUCUACCAUCUCCUGUAGGGCAAAACCAGAAAAACAGUUUCCCAAGGAUGUUGAUUGUCUUCCUGAAACUUUCAUCUACAGAUAUUUAAUGUCUCUUAAACUAAAACUUUUUUCCCAGUGAGGAAAAGCUUCUGAUUCUGCAGAAGUCUUAGCCUUUGUUUAGAAGAAAGUUAAGUUUCUACUAUCCACAGUCUCUCAGAUCUGUCUCCUACCCCGUAGAAAAUGGGUUUGGGGUGUUUUAGGUGUUUAAACAUGUUGCCUAAUUUUAGCAAAUUCUGACUGAGCGCUAAAGGAUUCAAAGCUUCUCAUUUUCUCUAGAUCUCAUUUAAGUAGCCAGGCAGUUGGAUAGAAGGUGGGGGAGGGAGACCCAAAACAAACUGUUGUAAUUUCUACUAAGUGAAAGAAUACAGUAGCAACUCCUUCCCUAAUAUACAGCAAAGAAACUGUAUUUGGGAUUUCCCAACCACAGGGAAAUCUUCAAUUUGCACAUCAUCAGAUACUGAGAAUCCAACCCCAGGAACGCAAUGUGAAACCAAGGUUUGUUUAUUUAUUCUGUUGUUUAUAGAACUCUUGUGUAAAAGAGCUCAGGGGUGGGCAACUUUGGAUCUAGUAGUAAGCAGAGAGGAAUUGCUAUUUAAGCAACUGGCUGCGGCUGAGCUGAAGAUGAGGCUUGUGUUGGGGCUGCGAGGUGUGGGUACUGGGCAGAGGUAGGCUUCUCAUUUGAAUCCAAAAGGCAUGCAAAAAGACUAAUAUUUCUCAAAACUGAAUGUAAACUCCCCAAACUCCUCCCAUACUUCCUUUCUGUCCCAGUUUCAGGAACCUACGUUUAAAGCAAAGCAGACAUUUUAUCAAGCUGAAAUUUCAUUAAGCAGAAAUUUAGCAUGUUGAGAAGUGCUGUUGAAUAGGAGCCUUUAUAACUUCAUCAGCUAAGGACUGCUGAUGUCCCAGAACACUCUUAAGAACUUGCUGAGUUAACAGUGGAUACUUUGUAAAUCCUGUGUUUCCCUAUUUGCUUUUUAAAUAUAAGUAAUACAGUUGUUGCUAUACUUUUUGAAGCAAACCUAUUGCACUCCUGCAUUUUUACAAGGAAUUUGCUGCCCUCUGUUGAUCAGAUGUGUUAAACACGACACAUGAAACAACUGUUUCAGAGGGCACGUAGAGGCAUUUGGAUAUUUAUUUCUUAAACUUUGAACCUUUAUAGUGCAACUCUUGAAAUUAUGUAUGUGUAUUCAAUAAUCUGGCUAAAGAGGAUACAGCUACUGUUACUGUGAAAAGCCUGGAGCUGUAGGCACCCUAUUAUUUGUUAGCUUCUCUUCAUACAAAGCAAUAAAAUGGGUAUAUGUAUUUGGGAA